rnacentral:tRNA from 5 species
GCCGGGGUAGCUCAGAGGGAGAGCGUCCGGCUGAAGACCGGAAGGUCGAGGGUUCAAAUCCCUCCCCCGGCA